rnacentral:rRNA from 1 species
ACCCGCUGAACUUAAGCAUAUCAAUAAGCGGAGGAAAAGAAACCAACCGGGAUUACCUCAGUAACGGCGAGUGAAGCGGUAACAGCUCAAAUUUGAAAUCUGGCUCUUCCGGAGUCCGAGUUGUAAUUUGUAGAAGAUGCUUUGGGUUGUGGGUUCGGCCUAAGUUCCUUGGAACAGGACGUCAUAGAGGGUGAGAAUCCCGUAUGUGGCCGAGGCCCGCGCCUAUGUAAAGCUCUUUCAACGAGUCGAGUUGUUUGGGAAUGCAGCUCAAAAUGGGUGGUAAAUUUCAUCUAAAGCUAAAUAUGGGCCAGAGACCGAUAGCGCACAAGUAGAGUGAUCGAAAGAUGAAAAGCACUUUGGAAAGAGAGUUAAACAGUACGUGAAAUUGUUGAAAGGGAAGCGCUUGCAACCAGACUUGGGCGCUGCCGAUCACCUUGAGUUUUCUCGAGUGCACUCGACAGCGCACAGGCCAGCAUCGGUUCGGGUGGCUGGAUAAAGGCCGUAGGAAUGUGGCUCUCUUCGGGGAGUGUUAUAGCCUACGGUGCCAUGCAGCCCAGCCGGACCGAGGACCGCGCCUUCGGGCUAGGAUGCUGGCGUAAUGGUUGUAAGCGACCCGUCUUGAAACACGGACCAAGG